CUGGGAUUCUCCAGGUCCAUGGCCCUGGUGCUGCUGUGGGUCCACCGCUCUGGCCAGGAGAGGAAGAGGAGUGUUAUAACGAGAGUCAGUGUGGGGACAAACCUGGGGCUGAUCCUGGAGUCAACGUGGGACCCUCUGAGGAAACACAGCCUCCUGGUCCAUCUCAGUGCGUUGACGACCAGUUGGGUGUUCCUGGAGUGGUAGUCUAUGACCAGUGGACAUCUCCCAUGAACCAGGCACCUCUUCAUGGAUCUUCAUUGAUUGAUUGAUUGACUGACAGAUUAAUUUAUGAUAGUAUCUCUACUGGAGACUGAAACAAGUGAUAAUAAAAGUUAACACAUAUGGUGAGAUGUCAGUUAAUAAUUGAGUGUGUCAUGUGACAGGGCUGUCAAAAAGAGAACACAGUUGAACCCACCCGUUACCAACCCAGUCAGAAAGUGAUUCUACACUCAUUUCACUCACACAUUACACUAUGUUUAGACUAGGGCCCUGUGUUUUGCACAAUCAUGUGACAUACUGUAGCAAGAUUUCGUCCUGUAUUUAAGCCUUAUCCAGAAAUGAGAAUUACACAAAAAAUGAAAGCGAUUGUCUAAUGAUGGUGCUGUAGAAUGUAACAUAAAAGAAAAGGUUUGAUGAAAAAGCUUUCAAUAAAGGUUCAA